CUAAUAUAAACAAGCGUGAGUAAGGUAUACUGUGGUUGGCAAAAAGCAUUUGUCAGCACAUGAAAUCAAACUGGUAUGCAGCGGUCACCGGCACGGCACUUGCAUCUGGACCCGUGGGGUAGCGUAUGCGGGUCAUAAGAGAGUUUGUGGUGAGUCACUAUUUAUCCUAUUCCUUCUGUGGGAAUGCGGCUGAGGCUCUCCGGUUGGUCCAGAGGAG